GGAAAUGUAGCUAAGUGGUAGAGUGUUUGCCUAGCAUGCAUAAAGCCCUAGGCUCGAUUCCUCAGUACCC
rnacentral:tRNA from 1 species